CUGGAACGCGCCCCAGGCGCACCCAGAAACCCUUUGUGAACUUAUACCUUACUGUUGCCUCGGCGCAUGCCGGCCCCCCUGGGGGCCCCUCCUUCUGGAGGAGCAGGCACGCCGGCGGCCAACCUAACUCUUGUUUUUACACUGAAACUCUGAGAAUAAAACAUAAAUGAAUCAAAACUUUCAACAACGGAUCUCUUGGUUCUGGCAUCGAUGAAGAACGCAGCGAAAUGCGAUAAGUAAUGUGAAUUGCAGAAUUCAGUGAAUCAUCGAAUCUUUGAACGCACAUUGCGCCCUCUGGUAUUCCGGAGGGCAUGCCUGUUCGAGCGUCAUUUCAACCCUCAAGCCUGGCUUGGUGAUGGGGCACUGCUUCUUACCCAAGAAGCAGGCCCUGAAAUUCAGUGGCGAGCUCGCCAGGACCCCGAGCGCAGUAGUUAAACCCUCGCUCUGGAAGGCCCUGGCGGUGCCCUGCCGUUAAACCCCCAACUUCUGAAAAU
rnacentral:rRNA from 4 species